UACGGGGGGGGCAAGCGUUGUUCGGAAUUACUGGGCGUAAAGGGCUCGUAGGUGGCCAACUAAGUCAUACGUGAAAUCCCUCGGCUUAACCGGGGAACUGCGUCUGAUACUGGAUGGCUUGAGUUCGGGAGAGGGAUGCGGAAUUCCAGGUGUAGCGGUGAAAUGCGUAGAUAUCUGGAGGAACACCGGUGGCGAAGGCGGCAUCCUGGACCGACACUGACACUGAGGAGCGAAAGCCAGGGGAGCAAACGGG
rnacentral:rRNA from 1 species